GCCUUUUUUCAUUUCAUUUAUCAUUUUCAUCAGUGUGUGUGACUUUGAAGAAUUAUUCAUGAAGUAGACGUUUAUGUCAAUAUGAAGAUAUCUUUAUUCACUUGUUAGAAAAGAUUUUAUAUGAGAUAUUGUACUGAAAACAUAGGAACCGUAUAUUUAGUCUUUACAUUGUUAUUCUUUAAAAAAGUGCUUUUGAUUAUGGUCUCUUAUUUAUCCUUUUACUAUCUGGAGAUUUUUUAUCACAGUCUACAAUUUUAUAAAGAAAUAUAAAUUAUAGUAUAUAAUUAUUAUUUACCUUUUUCUCUUAAGGAGGUGUUAAAAGGUAAUAAAAUAAGUGAAGUCAGCUUUCUUUUGAAGUUACUAAGGUUAAAUAGUCUUUCUUUGCGGAUGAAUAAAUGAGUAUUUAUUAUUACUACUAAUUUUAAUAACACCUUAUAUUUAUUCAACUGCUAUGUAUCAGAUGGUGUAUAAAGUGUUUUACAUACAGUACCUCAAUUAAUCUGCCUAAUAAAUAGGUUUCAUUUUAGAAAUGAGAAAGCUUAUGAGAUAAAGGAACUUUUCUCAAGCUAAUGCAGUCCAGCCAUCGAGAUUCCACUUGGAGACGUCUCCUAGGAGGCUUCUGCUCUAUUAACUCCUUACUGUUCUAAACUGGCUCUUAAGAAUGAGGUGGAGGAUUCUCAUUUUUUGAAAGACACUUCAGUUUUCCACUUAAAUAACUUGUUUCUUAAAUCUGUACUCUGUUAGGAUCCAUUAGGUUCUGCUAGGGCACUUUACCAGUGACAGUUAAGGAGUGGGAAUGUGCUAAUGGUUGCCCAUUAUCCUGCAGGAUAAUCAGGUAAGGGAACAGAGUGGUACGGCUUAUGAUUCAGCAACAUUCAGUCAUAUUACUCUAAAUCAUAGUAAGGACAGCAUCUCAGUGAGCCAGCAUCCUUCCAGUGCAUGUAGUGACUAGGGCUGGCCUGUUGUUGGCUGGCUGUGUUUCCGUUCAACCAGAGUUGAUUUUCACCUUUUCUGAACUGAGCAUUUUUUUAUUACUUUUUUUUUAAAGUAUAGUGCAAUUAAAACAAAGGAUAUAUGAUCUUUUAAGGUUUUUAACGUUGUAGAUUCUAUUCUCUUACUCCUGUCAGGAACCAUCAUAUUUAUUGUUUUCUGUAAAAGAAAUGGAUGACUUUUUGGCUUUAAAUUUAAUUUCACUGAUCUCCCCCCCCCCUCCACAUUUCUUUCUGGAAUAUUGUUAGUUUAUUUCUCUGGGAAUAAUGACUUGAAGAAACUAGAUACGCAUAGUAUUUGAGAUAUUUUGUUUUGUUUGAUUUGCUUAUUAAUGUUAUUCUGCUUUCCUACUUAUAUUAAUUAUAAGACUUGCAUGCUUAUUUUAAAUCUCCUCAAUAUUAGGUCAUAGUUGCUGAGAUUUUAAAUGACUCUUGCUGACAGUAGCUCCUUCCUGUGUUACUUCUCAGUAAAUAUUUCAGAAGAUAGUACUGCUCUUAUUAGAUGACUUCUUAGCUUCUUAAAGCUUCUUACUUAACCAGGUAGUUAAAUUGACUUUUCACUUUUUAAACUUGGUAAUCUGUUAAUGCAGGGGAUAGAAACUACCAAAGAUAAAAACUGUCCUUGAUUGUGUUUUUAUUCUGUAUAAUAUCUGUAGCUUUACCCUUUUCUUCACGCCUUGAUAUUACUUACCUGCAGGAAAGUGUUGACAAAGAUUAUAUUGAUUUGUAGGUACUUCUGUCACCUGUGUCCACAAGAGAUGGCAUGGCCUUCAUGCUUGGGCUUCUCAAGGUUUCAAUAGAACCUGCUUAUCUGAUUUCAAAGCAUAUAGUUGUACCUUAGCAACUCUAGGCCUUUGAAAAGAGCAGAGUUGUCUGCUUUUCAUUUCCUGUCAGAAGUCUAAGAGAGAAGUGAUAAUUAGAGAAGAUCAUCUAAAGACUCCUGAGUCCCCUCCUCCCACCAAAAUGUGAUCAUUCCACAGUUUUUCCUAUUUUGAUAAAUGACAAUUCCAUCUUUCUAGUUGUUUAUGUCAGAAACUUUGUCAUCUGUGGAGUCCUCUCUUUUUCUUAUAUCCACAUCCAGUUAUCAGCAAAUCCUUUUGGUCCUACCUUAAAAAUAUAGCCAGAAUCUGACUUCUUACCACCUCCAGCACUCCCACUGGUCCAAGCUUUUAUCAUUUCUUGCCUGAAUUAUUGUAAAAAUCCUCCUAACUAGUUCUCCUGCUUCCACCCUUCUGCUCUUUACCAUCUAAUCUCUAUAUGUAAUCCUUUAUAAUAAAAAAUCCUGUUUGUAAUCCUUUAAAAUGUCAGUCAGAUUCCAGUAAUCCGCAGCUCAAGACCUCCUAAUGACUGUUCAUCUCACUUAAAGGAAAAGCCCAAAUCCUUAGAAUUAUCUGUAAGUCCUACAUGAUCUCUUGGUUGUUUCUCUGAUCUCAUCUCUUACCAGUCACUUCCUUACUUCCCCAUCAUCACACUAGUCUUGUUGCUGUUCCUCAACACCCCGGUUGAAACGCAAGUCUGCUUCAUGCCUUUGAACUUGGACUGCUUUUCUCUUAGAUAUUUCCAUGGCUUGCUCCCGAACUUUCUUCAGGUUAAUGCUCAGAUGUUACCUUAUUGAUGAGGGCUUAUCUGACCACUCUACAUACAAUAGCAAUACCUUCGUCCUGCUUUGUAUUUAAGUUUCUGUUGCUUCAUUAAGAAACCCCGUGGCCAGUGGUUGAGUUCGUGAGCUCUGCUUCAGCGGCCAGGGUUUCACCAGUUUGAGUCCUGGGUGCGGACAUGGCACCGCUCAUCAAGCCCUGCUGAGGCGGCAUCCCACAUGCCACAAAUAGAAGGACCCACAACUAAAAAUACCCAGCUAUGUACCGGGGGACUUUGGGAGAAAAAGGAAAAAAUAAAAUCUUAAAAAAAAAAAAUUCACUGGAACUAGAAGAUUUACUGAGCUUUAGAUUUCUGUACCCUUUAUUUUGUGAUUUGAUGCAUUGUUCAAAUUUUCAUAUGUUUGUUCAUUCAUUCAUUGAGCUGAUAACCAUUAUCUGCUAGUUAUGUACCAGUCACAUGACUUGGAAUUAUACAGUAAAAGCUGGUUUUAAAGACAGAGGAAACCAUGAGAAGCAAGAGGAAUCAGAAGCCUUGCCACCAUGAUGCUGAAGGAUUGCUGUAGUAGGAUCCCUGUCUGAAGCAUUCCUGAUACUCUGUUACCUGCAGCAUUUGAAAGGUUUUCUCCAACAUUUAAAAGCCUCUAGUUUUAUAAUCUAAUCAAACAGUGGCAUUGUUGUCUACAAUAACAACUUCUGAAUCUAGUAUUGAAGAUAUUUGUAAGGGUUGAAUUGAUUGGUAACAGAUUGUCCUUGUUUCUUUAGACUCCUGGCCUUACUUUCAAUUACGUGUAAAUGAAAUAUAUUUUAUUUCUCAAAACCAAUUUUUACAAAAACUCUGAGCUGUAGUUCCCUGAAGAUAUGAUUCAGAAGUAAUUCGUGAAGAAAUAGAAUUUAGAAUCUUCAUGGAGUAUCACAGGUGUCACUCCUAGGACUGUUUCUAGAAUUUCUCUGAUUUAAAAGUUCUCAAUGAAUGUGAUUUCUAAAGAAUUUAGUCAAGAAAAGUGGAUAAUCCUUUUAUAUUUACUUUUUCCUUUCUCAUAAUAGCAAUUGGUGACAUACUAUAUAUGCUUUUUAGCUUGGAGUUAGGAACUUUAGAGUCAAAUAUGCUACUCCUAUUAAUGGACAUUUGAGUUGUUCCCAAUGUUUGAUUAUUAUGGAUCAAGCUGCCAUGAACAUUCUUGUUUGUACCUGUAUGUUAGUGACCAUAUGCCUCUUUUCUUUUUGGCAUAUUUCUGGGAGUGGAAUUGUUGGCUAAUAGGGUAGGCAUAUGCUCAGCACUAGAUAUUACCAUUUUCAAAGUGUCUGGAUCAAUUUACACUCCCACCAGCAAUAUGUGAGAGACUUGUCACAAAAAGAAAACUAGUCUACUGUCCCGUCCUUACCCCACCCCAAAUCCUGAUACUCAGAGACAGCCACUUUCAGUCCCUUUAACUAUAUUAUUUUCCUACGUAUUUACCUUAAUAUUUUUAAGUAAGAUGCUCGUGUUGCUCUUUUUUAAAAAUUUUAGAUGUAUCUAUGGAAUAUAUUGAUGUAUUGACUAGAUCUAUUGAAUACACUAUGAAAUUUCACCUGUUACAGCUCUCCUCCUUCUUGCGUUCCCCAUCUUCCCAAUAGUUCUCUCAUUUUUUUGUUUAAAUUAAUAAUCAGUGUUUAGAUUAUAAUUAGAAUGUAAAUAUUACUCUCAGCUAAGUGGCUCAGUGUUCUAUGAACAUAUUCUUUCUAUAUGAUUUUUUCCCCUCAGGUAAGUAAUUAUUUUAUUGGAUUCAUUUGGGUAGUUUUCUCCCCUAAACUCUUUGACCAAAUUGUACAACUCCCCCUCACAGUGGUUGAACAUUCCAGGUCCUUUUUUUUCUUUUCUUGAGGAAAUACUACCUUUGAAACUCGGUUCCUUUGACUUUCAUUGGAGCAGUUUCUUUCUUGGCUGGCUUCAGAGCUGUUUUCUUAGGAAUGCCUGCUGUUCAUGAUCAUCCAGGGAAUUCUUUUUGCUUUUCAUCUUUGUUGGACCCCGUACUUUCUGAGUCCCAUGUUCUUUUUGUCUUAGUAUAUUAUUUUUUAAUUUUGUGCAGCGUAUUCUUCAUUAGCUUCCUGAGAAAGGGUACAUAGGAGAUCAAAUUUGAAAGACCUUGCUUGUGUGAUGCUGUUUUUAUUCUGUCUUCACACUUGAGUGAUGCCUUGGCCAUGUGUAGAAUUUUAGGUUGGCAAGAUUUUUCCUUAGAAUUUUAAAAGCCCUUGAAAGGGCCUGUGUUAUUGUCUAGCUUUUGGUGUUGCUGUGGAGACAUUCAGUAUCAUGUCUUUGCUCAGUUCUUUGUAUGAGUUAAUGCUUUUCAUUUUUCUUUCUUCCUUUUCUUUCUCUUUCUUUUUCCCUC